rnacentral:rRNA from 1 species
UAAACAUUGAUUUUUUUUACACCCAUCAUCCGCCCGGGUAUUACAAGCGUUAGCUCAAAACCCAAAGGACUUGGCGGUGCUUAAGACCCCCCUAGAGGAGCCUGUUCUAGAACCGAUAAUCCUCGUUUAACCUCACCCUUUCUUGUUCUUCCCGCCUAUAUACCGCCGUCGUCAGCUUACCCUGUGAAGGCCCAAUAGUGAGCAAAAAUGGCACAGCCUAAAACGUCAGGUCGAGGUGUAGCAUAUGAAAGGGGAAGAAAUGGGCUACAUUCUCUAAAAUAGAGAAUACGGAUAAUAUAUUGAAACAUGUAUUUUAAGGAGGAUUUAGCAGUAAGUAGAAAUUAGAAUGUUCUUCUGAAUUAGGCUCUAAAGCGCGC